rnacentral:rRNA from 1 species
AGUGAACGCUGGCGGUAGGCCUAACACAUGCAAGUCGAACGGCAGCACAGUAGGAGCUUGCUCUUACGGGUGGCGAGUGGCGGACGGGUGAGGAAUACAUCGGAAUCUACUUUUUCGUGGGGGACAACGUAGGGAAACUUACGCUAAUACCGCAUACGACCUACGGGUGAAAGCAGGGGAUCUUCGGACCUUGCGCGAUUGAAUGAGCCGAUGUCGGAUUAGCUAGUUGGCGGGGUAAAGGCCCAUCAAGGCGACGAUCCGUAGCUGGUCUGAGAGGAUGAUCAGCCACACUGGAACUGAGACACGGUCCAGACUCCUACGGGAGGCAGCAGUGGGGAAUAUUGGACAAUGGGCGCAAGCCUGAUCCAGCCAUACCGCGUGGGUGAAGAAGGCCUUCGGGUUGUAAAGCCCUUUUGUUGGGAAAGAAAAGCAGCAGGUUAAUACCCCGCUGUUCUGACGGUACCCAAAGAAUAAGCACCGGCUAACUUCGUG